CCUACGGGGGGCUGCAGUGGGGAAUAUUGGACAAUGGGGGCAACCCUGAUCCAGCCAUGCCGCGUGUGUGAAGAAGGCCCUCGGGGUGUAAAGCACUUUCAGUGAGGAAGAACGCCUGGUGGUUAAUACCCAUCAGGAAAGACAUCACUCACAGAAGAAGCACCGGCUAACUCCGUGCCAGCAGCCGCGGUAAUACGGAGGGUGCGAGCGUUAAUCGGAAUUACUGGGCGUAAAGCGCGCGUAGGUGGCUUGAUAAGCCGGUUGUGAAAGCCCCGGGCUCAACCUGGGAACGGCAUCCGGAACUGUCAAGCUAGAGUGCAGGAGAGGAAGGUAGAAUUCCCGGCGUAGCGGUGAAAUGCGUAGAGAUCGGGAGGAAUACCAGUGGCGAAGGCGGCCUUCUGGACUGACACUGACACUGAGGUGCGAAAGCGUGGGUAGCAAACAGGAUUAGAUACACGAGUAGUC
rnacentral:rRNA from 1 species